rnacentral:rRNA from 1 species
UAACGCGUAGGUAACCUGCCUUGUAGCGGGGGAGUAACUAUUGGAAACGAUAGCUAAUACCGCAUAACAAUGGGUGACUCAUGUCAUUUAUUUUGAAAAGGGGCAAAAUGCUCCACUACAAGAUGGACCUGCGUUGUAUUAGCUAGUAGGUGAGGUAACGGCUCACCUAGGCGACGAUACAUAGCCGACCUGAGAGGGUGAUCGGCCACACUGGGACUGAGACACGGCCCAG